AUCUAUAUUACUUAUUUACUUCUGUGUGUUGAGCCCAAAUCUGCCAACAUGUGACUUCCAUCCUUUGAUCUCAUUUUCUGGGAGCAACACAAAAAAAAUGUGGCUUCCUUGAAAGUUCUUCAUGUAUUUAAAGAUCACUCUCAAGCCUGCAGUCAACCUGGAGUAGGCAGAUGAAGCAGCUGGGGAAAAGACCUCUUGACCUACCAACAAACAGUCACAGGUCUGUAAUUUUGAAAUACAGCAUGUGCACAAAAGAGAGUAUAAAAUUCAUGUGUCUAAUUACAAGAGUAAACAACAAAAUGAACACCAGUGAAUUGACUGCCAGAUUAAGGUAUUGAACAUUUUCAGAACAAUGCUGCAGUUGUGAGUUACUCCAAAAGUUUGUCCUCUCUGCAUACGAUUCAACUGGUACACUGCAGUCAGACUAAUUCUCUUGAAAUACUACCUGUAUUGAAUUAUUCUAUUUCUCAAGAACAUAUGAUGAUUUACUUUUGGUUUUAUCAUCUGAAAGAUUCCAGAGAAGCCCAGUGAUCCUGAAGGGUACUGGCAGCCACAGUAUCUGAAAUGCUGUGUCUGAGGACCAUCUUCCCCUGACAUUGCAGAAUACCUAGGACAGAGCAACUGUUUCCAGGCCUACUCUUAUCACAGUCUCCUUGGGGACUUUUAAAAAUCCAGGCCUUUGGACUUAAUGAUUCAGAGUUUCUGGGGCUGGACACCUGCUAGCUCCGUGCUUCAGUCACUCCCCAGCAAAUAUCUUCCACUGAGAUCGUGUGGUUUUAAUCAUACAAGGAGAGUGGCAGAAGAACAGAAAGAUUGAAACCAAGGACAGAGAACACCUGAAAUUGGAAUGGCUUCAAAUGUUCAGUGGAAGUGAACAAGUUCUUGUAUUGUUUUCUCCUAUUCUCCUUCCAGCUUCAGGGUCAUAUGUCACAGCGCUGGGCAUUUCAUUUGGGUAUCUAUCAUCAUUCCCAUUCUGCAAUGAGGAAAUGCUGUCAGAGUGAUUAAGUAAUUUGCCCAUGGUCUCACAUAGAAGCCUGUCUUCUCCAGGGAACACAGCACUCAGAAUCGUCUCGGCCCCUGCAUAAGCCUGCAUGAGCCUGGGCUCUGGGGACCCAUCCUGGUGCAUCAUUCGUUGGCUCUGUGACAAUGGGCACAUCGUUUAACCUCUCUUGGCUUCAUUCUCCUUACUGGAAUGAUGGAGAGAGUUUUGCCUAUUUCAGAGGCUUGCUCUUCUAUACGUGAGCCUAUAAGUAACUUGUCUUAAGAAUUUCCACUCCUUCUGUACUCUGAUUUAAAUUUGAAGGCAUCAAAACAAAAACAAUCAAGAUUUCAGAUUCCAAAUA
ensembl:lncRNA LINC02866 long intergenic non-protein coding RNA 2866